rnacentral:rRNA from 1 species
GACGAACGCUGGCGGCGUGCUUAACACAUGCAAGUCGAACGGAAAGGCCCUGCUUUUGUGGGGUGCUCGAGUGGCGAACGGGUGAGUAACGCGUGAGUAACCUGCCCUUGACUUUGGGAUAACUUCAGGAAACUGGGGCUAAUACCGGAUAGGAGCUCCUGCUGCAUGGUGGGGGUUGGAAAGUUUCGGCGGUUGGGGAUGGACUCGCGGCUUAUCAGCUUGUUGGUGGGGUAGUGGCUCACCAAGGCUUUGACGGGUAGCCGGCCUGAGAGGGUGACCGGCCACAUUGGGACUGAGAUACGGCCCAGACUCCUACGGGAGGCAGCAGUGGGGAAUAUUGCACAAUGGGCGGAAGCCUGAUGCAGCAACGCCGCGUGCGGGAUGACGGCCUUCGGGUUGUAAACCGCUUUCGCCUGUGACGAAGCGUGAGUGACGGUAAUGGGUAAAGAAGCACCGGCUAACUACGUG